rnacentral:lncRNA from 1 species
ACACAGCAUUAUAAAAAGAUUAUAUAAUUACAUAGCAGAUAUACAGAUAUAUGCACGCGUUUGCACGCUGAUUAGAGUUACUUGCAUUGACUUUUGCUUUAGAGGAAAUAAAAAAGGAAAAUCUUUAAAUAGUUCUUCAUCAAUUAAAAGGUAACAAUUUGUAACAGAUUCAACUAUGAACAGGUAUUGCGUCAAUAUGUCUACAAUAGAAAAACAUAAAUAUAUAAAAACAAAGGCAAAGGGGUCAGCUACACAUAUUAACUUACCAAACAUACAUGUUCUGUUGAAAAACUGAUCCCCAUUCACACCCUCCAGGUGGGAGGAUAAGACUAUAAAAAUGGGAAGCCAGUGUGUGGGUGUGGUGUUCUAUUUUAUUAGCAAUUUGGAUGAUAGGAUGUUUUGCUACUGUUUUUAGUUGGCCAAUGACAUAAUAGUGAGAUACUGAUUAUUAAGCCUGGGAAGCUGGUCAUGGAUAUGGGGUUGUCAACCCUAAACCCACGUACUUCAUAAUUUCCUAACCUUCCCCUUCAAGGCCAGAUGCAUUUCAACCUGCCAGAAGGGGCACGUUAGGGCCCCCUAAGAGGCACGAUUGUUUGAGUAACUUCCCCAGAAACGGACAUGUCUGCUGCUGCCUCAGCUGCAGCACUGUCAUUGGGCAAGCUGUUUUCUAGAGGCUCAUAGGCAGGUG